rnacentral:rRNA from 1 species
UGUGUCAGAACAUGCCCCAGUAUGGCAAAUCCGCGGACGGCUCAUUACAACAGAGCUAAUUUUCUUGAUUUUGACGUCCCAAUUGGACAACUUUGGUAAUUCUGGAGCUAAUACAUGCCUCGAUGCCCCGACCGCAAGGAAAGGGUGCAGUUAUUAGAACAAAACCAAACGGGCUCGCCCGUCUUGUGUUGACUCUGGAUAACAUGGAGCCGAUCGCAUGGCCUCGGGCCGGCGACGCAUCAUAUCAAGUCUCUGCCCUAUCAACUUCCGAUGGGAGAUUAUGUGCCUCCCAUGGUUGUGACGGGUAACGGAGGAUCAGGGUUCGACUCCGGAGAGGGAGCCUGAGAAACGGCUACCACAUCCAAGGAAGGCAGCAGGCGCGCAAAUUACCCACUCUCAGUACGAGGAGGUAGUGAAUAGAAAUAACAAAGCAGAUGUCUCUGAUGUCUGCUAUUGGAAUGGGUACAAUUCAAAACCCAUAACGAGGAUCUAUGAGAGGGCAAGUCUGGUGCCAGCAGCCGCGGUAAUUCCAGCUCUCAUGGCGUAUAUCGUCAUUGUUGCAGUUAAAAAGCUCGUAGUUGGAUCUCAGCGUCCGCUCGCGGUCCGCCCUCUGGGCGUGCACUGCGCGCUUCGCUCUCGUGUCGGUCUCCGGCGGGCUCGCGCUCGUCGUGGCUGACAAGAUUACUUUGAACAAAUCAGAGUGCUCAAAACAGGCUGGUGCCUGAAUGAUCUUGCAUGGAAUAAUGGAAUAGGACUGCGGUUCUAUUUUGUUGGUUUUCGGAACCACAGUAAUGAUUGAGAGGAACAAACGGGGGCAUUCGUAUCGCUACGCGAGAGGUGAAAUUCUUAGACCGUAGCGGGACGCCCGAUUGCGAAAGCAUUUGCCAAGAAUGUUUUCAUUAAUCAAGAACGAAAGUCAGAGGAUCGAAGGCGAUUAGAUACCGCCCUAGUUCUGACCGUAAACGAUACCAACUCGCGAUGGUCCGGCAGCAGCAAUGCUCUGGGCCGGAGCGCCCCGGAAACGAAAGUCUUCCGGUUCUGGGGGAAGUAUGGUUGCAAAGCUGAAACUUAAAGGAAUUGACGGAAGGGCACCACCAGGCGUGGAGCCUGCGGCUUAAUUUGACCCAACACGGGAAAACUCACCCGGCCCGGACACUAUGAGGAUUGACAGACUGACGGCUCUUUCUUGAUUUGGUGGUUGGUGGUGCAUGGCCGUUCUUAGUUGGUGGAGCGAUUUGUCUGGUUUAUUCCGAUAACGAACGAGACUCCCCCCUACUAAAUAGAAGGCGGAUUCUCGCGUCCGUCGCAACUUCUUAGAGGAAUUCGCGGCGUUUAGCCGCAUGAGAUGGAGCAAUAACAGGUCUGUGAUGCCCUUAGAUGUCCGGGGCUGCACGCGGGCUACACUGGCUUUGCCAGCAAGCAGCUCCGCCAUGGAACCGUCGCGGUAACCCCGAAAGAAAGCCGUGAUUGGGAUCGGGAAUUGCAAUUAUUUCCCGUCAACGAGGAAUGCCUAGUAGACGUGAGUCAUCAACUCACAUCGAUUACGUCCCUGCCCUUUGUACACACCGCCCAUCGCUCCUACCGAUUGAAUGGUCCGGUGAAAUCCUCGGAGCCGUGGCCUCUACGCAAUCCGGGCAACCGGGUUGUGAGGUCUCCCCUUUUGGCGGCGAAGUCGAUUGAACCUUACCAUUUAGAGGAAGGAGAAGUCGUAACAAGGUCUCCG